rnacentral:lncRNA from 1 species
GCACCAAACACUUCUGAGAAUUAGGCCAUUCUGAUUUCGAUUCCAAUCCAUUCCGAUUUUCAUUUCGAUUUUGAUUUUGAUCGCGAACCAAACACCUUCCAAGUAUAUGUGCAGUCAAACUACAGCAAUCUCAUUAUAAAUAAUCAAGAUACCAUAACUCAAAGGACUAGUCACACUACAACAGUAUCGAGCAAGUCACUGACGAGUGAA